AAGUCGUAACAAGGUUUCCGUAGGUGAACCUGCGGAAGGAUCAUUAACACGUAUCCAAACGUUAAAACAACCCUGUGAAUAUUGAAUCUCAGUUCCCCCAAGGCAGAAAAAUGGGCUUGGCGCACGAGUAGCACCUGUAUUGGGUCGAGCGUUUACAACUAUCCACUCCUGGUGCCCCCAAGCAACCAUCAAUCUGAAAGUGUUUGGUGAAUUGUGCAAGGGCAGCGCAGUCAACGAUCGGUGGUCCACACGGCCAUCGACCGGGGGUCGUUACCUCCCUGUGGGGCCAAGUUCAUUCAGGUUGAACAUGAUGCAUGUCUACCGCGCCCGACGAAAGUCCGACGCACCCCUAACCGAACAACUGUUAACAAUGGAUAUCUUGGUUCUC
rnacentral:misc_RNA from 1 species